rfam:Myotis lucifugus cont2.9900, whole genome shotgun sequence.
AGCGGUUCUCAGGUGACACACCCCAGAAUUGGGCUCCCUCCUCUCUGGUUCUAGGUGUGUCACCCAAGAACUUCA